UCUCAUGAUGACCAAAAACCGAUCUUUCUUUAUUCUGGUACCUCUUAUGUUAGGGUUCUUCGGAAUCCAAUGAAUAAACUGGACUUCUGAUU
rnacentral:snoRNA from 1 species